rnacentral:rRNA from 1 species
UGCGUAGGCGGACUAUUAAGUCAGUGGUGAAAUCCUGCAGCUUAACUGCAGAACUGCCAUUGAUACUGAUAGACUUGAGUUUGGUUAAGGUAGGCGGAAUGUGUAAUGUAGCGGUGAAAUGCUUAGAUAUUACACAGAACACCAAUUGCGUAGGCAGCUUACUGAGCCGAUACUGACGCUGAGGCACGAAAGCGUGGGGAUCGAACAGGAUUAGAUACCCUGGUAGUCC